rnacentral:lncRNA from 1 species
UGGUGCUCAAACAAGGCCUUAAUAAGUUCAGUUUUGUCGUGAUGGAAUGAUAAACAACUACAAAUAUUUUUGUAGCAAACAUGAACAAUAGAGGUGUAAAAGUGAGUUACAUUGCCUAAGCUUGAAGUGACCCAACCCUUAAAUGCCAAGUCCAAAGAGCUAGAUGGUAUCAAGGAAAAUUCCUUUACUCAAGCCAAAGACAAGGAAGAUGAUUUAUAAGCUCAAAUCAAGGCUAAUCUUAGAACGUAUCAAGCACCAAUAAAUGAAGCAAGCUGCACAAAUCAAAGCUGGACUCCUAUGCCAAAAUCAAGGUUGCUGCUUUCAAGUGGAAGCAAUUGAAAUUAGUCACAGAAAUAGCAUUACUACUAGAAAUAUAUUCCAAAGCAUGUAUAAAUAUAGU